AUUGAACGCUGGCGGCAGGCCUAACACAUGCAAGUCGAACGAGUGGCGGACGGGUGAGUAAUGUCUGGGAAACUGCCUGAUGGAGGGGGAUAACUACUGGAAACGGUAGCCAAUACCGCAUACCAUCAGAUGUGCCCAGAUGGGAUUAGCUUGUGGGUGGGGUAAAGGCUCACCAAUGCGACGAUCCCUAGCUGGUCUGAGAGGAUGACCAGCCACCCUGGAACUGGGACACGGUCCAGACUCCUACGGGAGGCAGCAGUGGGGAAUAUUGCCCAAUGGGCGCAAUCCUGAUGCAGCCAUGCCGGGUGGAUGAAGAGGGCCUUCGGGUUGUAAAGUACUUUCAGCGGGGAGGUGUUACCCGCCGAGGAAGCGCCGGCUAACUCCGUGCCAGCAGCCGCGGUAAUUC
rnacentral:rRNA from 1 species